UGGGGAAUAUUGGACAAUGGGCGAAAGCCUGAUCCAGCCAUGCCGCGUGUGUGAAGAAGGUCUUCGGAUUGUAAAGCACUUUAAGUUGGGAGGAAGGGCAGUUACCUAAUACGUGAUUGUUUUGACGUUACCGACAGAAUAAGCACCGGCUGACUCUGUGCCAGCAGCCGCGGUAAUACAGAGGGUGCAAGCGUUAAUCGGAAUUACUGGGCGUAAAGCGCGCGUAGGUGGUUAGUUAAGUUGGAUGUGAAAUCCCCGGGCUCAACCUGGGAACUGCAUUCAAAACUGACUGACUAGAGUAUGGUAGAGGGUGGUGGAAUUUCCUGUGUAGCGGUGAAAUGCGUAGAUAUAGGAAGGAACACCAGUGGCGAAGGCGACCACCUGGACUGAUACUGACACUGAGGUGCGAAAGCGUGGGGAGCAAACAGGAUUAGAUACCCAUGUAGUCCCUGAGCGGGCUGGCAAGGCGCAU
rnacentral:rRNA from 1 species